AUGGGCCCUCAACACCCAUCAAUGCAUGGUGUUCUUUGACUGAUCGUUACUCUCGAUGGUGAGGAUGUUAUUGAUUGUGAACCCAUAUUAGGCUAUUUACACAGAGGAAUGAAAAAAAUCACAGAAAACCGAACUAUUAUACAAUACUUACCUUAUGUAACAAGGUGGGAUUAUUUAUCUACUAUGUUUACAGAAGCAAUAACAGUAAAUGCACCAGAAUUCUUGGAGAAUAUUAAAAUACCACAAAGAGCCAGCUAUAUUAGGGUAAUUAUGUUAGAAUUAAGCCGGAUAGCUUCUCACUUGCUAUGGCUUGGACCUUUUAUGGCGGAUCUUGGCGCACAGACUCCUUUUUUCUAUAUUUUUAGAGAGAUAGAAUGGUGCAUAAUUACUUUCACAUCGAAGGAGUAG
rnacentral:rRNA from 1 species